CUCAUUUUCAAGCCCACCUACACAAAUCUUAUAUCAAAACGGUCAGCUAUCCCUGCUGCCACUAAACAUGUCCACGGCUAAGCCAUAGUCCUGAUAGUUUUCACAAUAUGACCAUUUGUUUGCAACUCACGCCGUCCAUUGACAUUCAUUGAAACUCCACUCUAGCCAGCUCAAACUUGAAGGGCAAUUUCUAAACUGCGACUGUGCCUUCAUUUUUAAUACUUCAGAG